GAAAAGAAUCGCAGCAAGCCCUAUGUGUCACGAGCAGGCAAUGUAAUUGUUGAGUUUUUGGUGGGGUGGAGGGCUUUUGGGGAUGCAUUAUAGCACAGGCCGUGACUACGUUUUUCCGUUGGUUGAUGCUGCAUAUCGCACGCUUGUUAUAUUUGUUUAUAUAGUUAUAACAAACACUAAGUGCCUAUCAAUUAGUUCCAAGAAAGCGGCCGGGGUGUACACUAUACUUUCAUUCAAAUCUUAAUAUUUAACGGAAUCGGUAUCGAACAAGCUAGGGAUUCGCGCCUUGAUUGCCCGCGAAAGCCGUAGCCCUUUAAUUGCUUAGAAGAAC
rnacentral:misc_RNA from 1 species